UGAUAAAUUAAUAUUUUGAAUUCUAAAAUAUUUUAUUGUUUGUUAAAAUUUACUUAUUUUCUCUCAUGCAUCUUUAAUUUAUUAAAUCAAACUUUUUUGGCAAUAAAAUAAUUUUAUUUUCAAAACAUGUAUGAAAUAAUAAAAUUUCAUUUUUCAGUAAUGAAAUAAAAUGAAGUAGUGUAUUCGCGGUGCUUUUAACCUUCCUACCCGCAAAUCUCUCUCAAAACAUCUCAUGUUUGUCUUGGCCACCGUUUUUCUCUUUGCCUUCCCUCUUGUCAAAGCUCCUUUCGUCUUUCUGCUACCAAAGAAGGUAAAACCGAAACAUCAACAAUUAAAAAAAGAAGAAGAAAGGAAUAAGCUGCAAAUAAUGUCCAAAUCAAACCCUAAUUUCCCUCCCCAGCAAUUAUCCAAAUCUCUGACCAAAUCGUUCAUGGCUCAGAACCAAGUCAUGGACUCGCUUACUUCCCACAUCUCUCUCUACCAUUGCCAUUCUCUCUCCCAAAAUCCAAACCCUAACCCUAAUAGCAAUUCAAGGUCUUCGAUCCUCAGGUGGUUCUCAUCUCUCACCAUCCAUCAACGUCAAGCUCACCUCACAACCGUCGAUUCCAAGUUCACCCAGCUCCUCAUCCAGAUGCUCGGCAAGCUUCGUACACGUGGCCAUGGCUUCUUCAUUAUUCUUCCCGACCUUCCCUCUCGUGAUCCUCCCUUCCUCCCGGGCCUCUGUUACAAACAAUCACGUGGUCUCCUCUCUAGGGUUGCCCAGUCCAAUGAGUCGGAACGGCGAGUUUUUGAGUCGGUUCGGUUGUUCGGAUCCAGAGAAGGCGAAAAAAUCGACGACUGUACGUGCUCGGUGAGUAGUCUCGAUUCGAUGACGGUGACUGAAGAGUUGGUUGAAAAUGUGGACCGGUUUGUUGAAAUAAUGGAUGAAGUUUCAAACGGUGCGUUUUUGAGAGGGGAUGAGAGCGAAUUGGUAUCGGAUUGGAUUGAACUCGAGUGGUUAAAAUCAAAAGGGUAUUAUAGUGUUCAGGCUUUUGUUGUAAAUAGAUUAGAGGUGGCGUUGAGGUUAGCGUGGUUGAAUUGUAAUAAUGGGAAGAGAAGAGGGAUGAAGUUGAAAGAGAAGAUGAAGGCUGCUGGGGUAGCUGCAAAUGUGUAUUGGAGGAAGAAAGGAUGUUUGGAUUGGUGGGUAAAUUUGGGUGAUGCAACAAGGAAGAAAGUAUUUAAUGCAAUUUUCGGGAAAGCUGCUAAAUCCCUGACUUUCGAGGUUCUGAAGGCAGCAGGUAGUGCCUCAGAGAAUGAAAUGUGGCUUUUUAGUGCAGGAGCAAUGGAACGACCGAUGAGAUAUACCAAUUAUGGUGAAAAAAAGCUGGGGACCACCCGAAAACCCCUUGAGGAUGCAGAAUUUGGCAUGACUGUUUCAGCAAAUUCUCAUUCUGGAAAACCUACUUCCCUAACCAAUGCCUUUAGUAGUUUGUUUGUGCUUCAGGAUAUUGUUACUGUGGUCCUAUCAUGUCAUCACCACUGUGAUGUGGGAAAGGUGUUUUAUAGCUCAUUAGGCUCUGUAAGUUCCAUCAUUGAUAGCAUAUUAAGAAAACUGCGAGGAUAUCUCAUGGUUAUUUCACUUGAUUGCACAAAGCUUGAACUUCUUGGCGAAGGAAAUUUUAACUCUUCGUCUGAUAAAUCCAAGGAUAAGUUCAGUGCAUCUAGCCGUAAGAAAAAGGGAAAGCCCCGAAACAUUAAAAACCCAAAUCCUGUUCUGAAGAUGGAGAUGGAUGACCAUCCACCGCAAAAACCUCUUAAGGAUCUUGAAUAUAAAUCGACUCAUAAUAAGAAAGCAGAUUUGAUGGAGUCCACCAAGACGCAUGUUAUACCUCAUGAUAAAGAGGUACAAACCCAAUCAGUGGUUGGUGGAAAAGGACAAGCUGCUGCAAGGAAGAGCCGAAAGGAAAAGAAUAAAAAAAAACGCUCUUACAUCAAUGAUACAACUGAAGCAAAAUCUUCUAAGAAGGCAGUCACUGGGUCGUCUUCUUUGUCUUUUGUUUCUCAAGAUGAGGCAACAAAGUCCAAUGGGGUAUUGGACAAUUUAAGUGUAGAACACAGUUUUCCAACUGAUCCAAUAAGUCAUACAAACAUUCUUGAACCAAUUUCAAGUCCUACUGAACCAAAUAAUCAUCUUUUCAAGGAAGAUAUUGCCCUGCAUGUGCAAGAUCAUGAGGUUGGUUCCACUAAUGGUUUCUGUCAUAAGGGUACAGGGCAUCAACAGGACUCAAAAGAUAUUAGUGCGAAUGAAAUCAUUCCUACCAGACAAGAGAGUUCAAAUUAUAAGCGAGAAUGUAAUGUUUUGCCUCCUAUUGCCCCAAAACCUGGUAGUGUUUUCAUUGGAGAAGGCAUCAAUGAACAUAGUGCAAGUAGAAUUCAGGAAAAUUCAACUUCCGGUGUAUCUGCGAAUGCACUUGACAUUAAAGAGGGAGUUUCUGUGAUUCAGGUGCAAGAUAAAAAGUUUUAUAAUACUGCACCUACUCCACAAUGCCUUUCAUACGAGUGGCCUAGUGUAGCUCCCUUUUAUUUUCCUUCUAUAAAUCCACAUGUUCCAGCAGCCACUGAUCGGUUGCACCUUGAUGUGGGUCACAAUUGGCACAAUCACAUCCGCCAGCCUUUUGUGCCCACCAUGCAUCAGGCAAGAAAUCCUUCGAUUGAAAGUGGUUGCAAUCGAAUCUUAUCUCGUCCAAUGCCAAUGAGUUUAGAUUGGCCCCCUAUGGUUCGAAGUGCUUCUGGAUUGGCUCCAUCAGUUACAUACAAUUAUGACUCUGGAUUUAUUUCUAGGCGACAGACAGCUUUUCAGCAGAGUUUUGCUUCACAAAAUUUUCAGUUCAAUAUGAAGAGUUUUGAGGAUGAUAGAAAGUAUUCUGGGGAUUUCUUUGACUUGCCAGAUCCUGCAAAUACAUCUGAACUGGCUGAUGAAUAUGACAGCCACUAUAUAUCAGAGGAAGAAUUUGAGGUGCAUGCUGUUUCUGGUAUAGAUUAUAAUCAAUAUUUUGGUGGGGGUGUGAUGUACUGGAAUCCUUCUGAUCUUCCAGGUACUGGUUUCUCUAGACCUCCUUCCCUUAGCUCCGAUGAUAGCUCAUGGGCCUGGCGUGAAGCAGACAUGAGUAGGGCUGUUGAUGACAUGGUUGCUUUCUCUUCAUCUUAUAGUACUAAUGGUUUGACUUCGCCAACAGCUACUCCAUUUUGUUCGCCUUUUGAUCCUUUGGGUCCUGGACACCAAGCAGUUAGUUAUGUUGUGCCAGGAAAUGAAGUGUCUAGCAAAGUGUUGCAUUCUGCAUCAGCAACACCGGAUGCAGCAACUGAGGAGGAAGCUCCUGGAUCUUUCGCCAAUUUAUCUAGUGAUGUUGAAGCGAAAACAGGGGAUUCACUUCCUUACCCUAUUCUGCGUCCUAUAAUCAUUCCAAACAUAUCAAGGGAGAGAUCAAAAUCUGACUUCAAGCGUGGUCAUGAUCAUAAAAGCCCACGUGUUGCUCCAACUAGGCGUGAACAACCUAGGAUAAGACGGCCCCCAUCACCAGUGGUGCUCUGCGUUCCACGAGCUCCCCGUCCACCACCACCAUCUCCUGUGAGUGACUCAAGGAAACAGCGUGGUUUUCCAACUGUUAGAUCUGGUAGCUCUAGCCCAAGACAUUGGGGUAUGAGAGGUCUGUACUAUGAUGGAACCAACUCAGAGGAUGCUUGUGUAUGCAUGGAUGGUACUGAAGUUGUUUGGCCGUCUUGGAGAAGUAAGAAUCUUUCAGCCCAUCCAAUGAUCCAUCCUCUACCAGGUGCUUUGUUGCAAGAUCAUCUGAUUGCAAUGUCUCAGCUUGCUCGUGAUCAAGAGCAUCCAGAUGUAUCAUUUCCUCUACAGCCUCCAGAGUUACAGAGCUGCCCAGCUCGAAAGGCAUCUCUGUCUUCAAUGCACAACUUCCUUAAUGAUGAAAUUGACUCCUUUUGGAAGCAGGUUGCAGCAGAGAAUAUGGCCUGUAAGCCAUACAUUAAUUGGGCUGUUAAGCGGGUUACAAGGUCUCUUCAGGUCCUGUGGCCUAGGUCAAGGACGAAUGUCUUUGGUUCAAAUGCAACUGGAUUAGCUCUUCCAUCGAGUGAUGUGGACCUUGUGGUUUGUCUUCCUCCAGUGAGGAAUCUGGAACCUAUCAAAGAAGCUGGGAUUUUGGAAGGACGCAAUGGUAUUAAAGAAACUUGUCUUCAGCAUGCUGCCAGGUAUCUUGCCAAUCAGGAGUGGGUAAAAAAUGAUUCUCUGAAGACUGUGGAAAAUACAGCUAUUCCUAUUAUUAUGCUUGUGGUAGAAGUUCCUGGUGACCUAAUAACUUCUGCGUCCUCUAAUGUGCAAUCACCCACAGACGAGCAAAUAGAUAGAACUGCUGAACAUGGUGACCAUGCUCAUUCUGAUACUGUUGCCUUAGACGACUCUGCUUCACCUAAGUGCUCGCAAAUAAAUUAUGGUAACACGAAGGGUGUCAAAUCAGUUCGUCUAGACAUCAGUUUCAAGUCGCCCUCACAUACAGGACUCCAAACUACUGAGCUGGUGAAAGAGCUGACGGAGCAAUUUCCAGCUGCUACGCCUCUUGCUUUGGUACUAAAACAGUUCUUAGCAGAUCGUAGCCUGGAUCAGUCUUACUCUGGUGGGUUAAGUUCAUAUUGUCUGGUGUUACUUAUUAUACGUUUCCUACAGCAUGAGCAUCACCUUGGACGGCCUAUCAAUCAAAACUUUGGAAGCCUUCUGAUGGAUUUUCUUUACUUUUUUGGGAAUGUGUUUGAUCCCCGGCAAAUGCGUGUUUCUGUACAGGGAAGUGGAGUAUAUAUAAACAGAGAAAGGGGUUAUAGCAUUGAUCCUAUACACAUAGAUGAUCCUCUUUUUCCAACAAAUAAUGUGGGGAGAAAUUGCUUCCGGAUACAUCAGUGUAUCAAGGUUGGCAUUUUCAGAAGCCUAUUCUAUUCUGGAGGAUGAGCUUAGCUGCCUAUCAAGUAACACCAAUUCAUCUUCUAACCCACCAUGCAGAUUGCUUCAAAAAAUCAUCCCAAGUAUCACUUUAUCAUAGUGGCUUAUUUUGAGCAUCUUCAUCUUCUAGAAGCUGAAGUCUUAACCCUAAUGGGAGCAUUGGGUCUUGAUUAUUUGUUGGAACUCCCUUGGGAAUGUGCUCUAAGGUGAUCUUUUUUCACUAUGGCAACCCAGGGUUUGUCUCAGAGACAGCCUCACUCAUCUUUUGAAGUGAUGCUAGGCAGCGAGCUUAAUCUUGCCGUUGAUCUUUGCAAGUGAAGGAUGCGCCGGUCUCAUGUUCAAAAAUGGUUGUGCUGUAUGGUUUAAUCUUGAUCGAAAUAAAACUGAAAGGGUUAAUAUGAUGCCAAACUGAAUAUUCUGUGAAGUUAAUUUUGAGCUCAGCUGAUUGUGGUGGUGCCAUUGGCCACGGUUAGCAUCUGCACUAUGUUCAUUUUAUCAAAUGGCAUUGUUGGUGGUACAAAGGUACGCAGUCUGGAUGCCUAUUUCCUUCCUGAAUGUAGAGAUUAAGGAAGAAGGGCAGGGCAGGCCAGCAUAGGCAAAAGCAGGUGUGAAAACGGAGUCUCGUUACUAGCUUGGUAUUUCAUCUGGAGAAGGCAGCUGUGAGUUCUGGCAGAGUGCCUGUGUAGGAUAGCUAUUGUAUGACCGGGGGCCUAUAUGCGCUUCUCUUCUGCCUGUGGCUCCGGGUGUGCGAUUGUGGACCCGGGAUUUCAACUUUAAAUUUGUUGGGUACAGACAUUGGCCAGAUAUUGGUUGUGAAGCCAACCUAGACUGGCUCUUUUUUUUUUUUUUUUCCUAAAAAAAAAGUCGAAACAACUUUGGUUUGUAUUAUUAUUUUCUGCUAAAGUCAGCUCUUAAAAUACCUUGUAUCUAAUUAAAUUCCUAUUUUCUAUAAUUUUUAGUACUUUUUAUACAAAAUAAGAGUUUAAUUAAACAGAAAUAUACUUAUUUUGGGGGAUGAAAAA